CCCGCUGAACUUAAGCAUAUCAAUAAGCGGAGGGAAAGAAACCAACAGGGAUUGCCUUAGUAACGGCGAGUGAAGCGGCAAAAGCUCAGAUUUGAAAUCUGGUGCCAUAAUGGCAUCUGAGUUGUAAUCUGUAGAGGAGUAUUCGAGUAUGGCUUUGGCUUAAGUUCCUUGGAACAGGGCGUCAAAGAGGGUGAGAACCCCGUUUGCGGCCUUUGUCCUAUGCUAAUGUGAAUCUCCUUCAACGAGUCGAGUUGUUUGGGAAUGCAGCUCUAAAUGGGUGGUAAAUUCCAUCUAAAGCUAAAUACUGGCAAGAGACCGAUAGCGCACAAGUAGAGUGAUCGAAAGAUGAAAAGAUCUCUGAACAGAGAGUUAAAUAGUACGUGAAAUUGUUGAAAGGGAAGCACUUGCUACCAGACACACUUGCAAUUAAUCAACCUCCAUUUUUGGUGGUGCACUUGGUUGUAGGUGGGUCAGCAUCAGUUAUAGCGGUAGGAAAAAGACUGUGGGAAUGUGGCUUCUCCUGGGAAGUGUUAUAGCCCAAAGUGUAAUGCUGCCUGCUGUGACUGAGGACCGCGCUUCGGUGAGGAUGCUGGCAUAAUGGUUGUAAGUGACCCGUCUUGAAACAC
rnacentral:rRNA from 1 species